AAAGCCAAAGACAGCUUGCAAAGCCUUGGAAGUACAAAAAGUGACUUUCUGUAAUUGGAUUACAUUGUCUCAUAUCUUUUCCCUUUCCUUGCUCAUCUCUUUUCUCUUUCUCAUCUUUUUCUCUUUCUCUCUCGUCGUUUCUUAUCCUUCGUCUUCUUUCUCCCCAUUCUUCUUCCUCCUCCUCAACCUUCUUCUUCUUCGUCUCCCUCUCUUCUCUCUUCCCUGUCUCCCUCUUCUUCUUUCUAAUCUCUUCUUUCCACAGCGGAUUUAGUUUCUUUCAUGAUUUACCAUAUAUAUUGUUUUGGUUUUGCAGAACAAGAGAGAAGGAAGAAUGAAAAAUGAAAACACCAACAUGAAGAUCGAGAAAAAGGAGAGAGGGAAAAAAGGGGUUGUGACUAUUUUAAGUGUAAGAGAUUUCAGCCACCGCUAUUUUGUUUUUAUUUUGUUUUCUUAUAAAUUUAGGGGAGAUUGGGGUUUUAAUUUGUGGCUAAGUUUAAUAGAUUUCUUAUAAAUUUCAGCCUUCAAAUUAUACGGUAGAUUUAGGGUUUUGAUUUUGUAGUUAGGGUUUGCAUUAAUAUCAUUGGGUGAUUGAUGAAAUAUAUUUCCAGGUACAUCAGAGAAAUGUUUAGUUGAAGCAUCGUGUAAAUUCUUGAUAUUUUUGUUUUUUAUUGGUUGAAUAAAGACUCACGAAGGACAACUGAAGAGAAUGAGGUUGUUAUAUGUACAACAGGCUGUUUUGGUGGCUCUGGUUUGAUGGCCUCCGAACAUUUGAAGAUGAACGUUUGGUGCGGAGCUGGCGCGAGCAGAUUGUGCUGUUCUGAACUGCAUGACCCGAAUGUAGGUUCUGAAGUGAUUUCCUCUCGGAUUGAACAUGAUGUAUAGGUCAGGAAUGGUGACGAUGUUAGCUGGUAGUUAAAGGUUAAGUCAAAAGGAAAUCGAAGGUUAGAUGUUAAGGUGGGUUCUGUUAUUGAACCUGAACUUGUGUAUUGACUGGAUAUGAUUGUUUUUGUGAUGCAGUAAUUUAUUCUAUGUUAAUUGGACAUAAGUGUUAGGGGAUAAGUUUUGGAAGUUGAAAGUUAAUACUUGAUGUAUGCAUGGUUGUUAAUUAUGUAACUUGCAGUAGCUUUUUUCCUUGAAUUGAAUGUCCAUAAGAGUGUAUUAUUUUGGACAGGAAGUAUUGACUGCAGAAUGUGUAUGUACAUGUUCGGUGAUGAGGCUGCCCGGAGUCGGGAGUGGCACUGCCCCGAGUGCAAGGCUGACUGAGUAGCACGUCUAUAUCCGGAUAUCUCACUUCAUAUACAUUUUAGGGUGUAAUGAAGAGGUAUGGUUGGCUCUUUAACAUGUGUACCUUGCUGAAAAUCAGGUCAAAUGUUUAUGCUUUAAGUUGAAGUAUGGUUGGCUUUUUGACAUAUAUAUAGUAUUUUUAAUUCAAUUAAACUACAUUGUUGUUUCCUCUGCAAACCUAACUGAACAAUAUUUGGCUAUUUCAUUAAAGCCAAUUACUAUCACAUGUAAUUAUCUCUACACAUUAAGUUUUCCAUGUAGUUUUGGUUCCAUCAGAUUAUGUAUAUCAAUUGAUAACUACAAUGUUUGAUUCUUAUGCUGGUUUCAUAUCCAACCUUAUAGCAUUUUGAACCAGCCAUCAACAAAUAUCAAGCUACUACAUUAGGUUAAUGUCUCAUUCAUAACUCUAAAUAUGUAGCUAUAUUGCAUUGAACAUGGCUAUAUAUUAGAUGUCAAAGCAAUUAAAAUGAAAUUUAGCCAUGUCCAUUUAGAUUAUGUUAAGAACACCUUCAUGCUAGAAUUUUUCAUUUGUACUGUGAACAUUAUUGCCCUGCUUCAUUUGUGAGAAUCAUUCUCAAGAAUGUUAAGAACAAUAGAUUUUACUUGAUUAUUUCUACUGGCAAUGAUAUAUGUCGUCGGUAUAAAUUAUAAAUAUUUAUUUGAGAUACAUUUCAAUUGAGUCAUUAUCAUGUGCGAUUUAAAGAUCGCGGGGUGCUAAUGAUGUCCAGGUCACACUUCGACCCUAUCGGCCCUUUCAGCAACAUUUUGUCAUUUGAAGUUCUACCUAACAACCAUGAAAGUCGAGAAUGUCGUCAACCAUUCCUGAAAUCAGUCGGUGAUCCUGUAAUUCCAUAUGAGUUUGCUUUUGAACAAGGGUUGUAAUUUUAACAACGAGGCGUUCUGAAUUUAUUGUCCUUUUCAGGAUGAACUAAAAGCAGAACUUGAAGAAUUGGAGAGUGCUGAACUAGAAUCAGAAUUUUGCUUCUCUCCUUAAGGCUUUAUAUGUGUGAAAUUAUUGAACAUAAUAGAUGUAUGUAAAAGCUGAACAUGAGUUUCUAUUUAAAGUGAUCUUAUCAGAACAAGAACAAGAAGAAAGGACACAACCGGAGCCAAGGUCACCAAAGCUGCCGCCAAGAAGAAGUGAUUUCACUCCAUGGUUACUGCCCAUGUUGUUGUUUCUUUAGAGUACAAGAGUUAAUAAAUAUUGAUUCACUAUAAAUUAUCAUUAAUUUAAAAAAUAUCUACUCUUAUAUUUCAAUUUGUCCAUGCACUCUAAAAGCGUGUUCAAUUUAUUUAAUAUACUUUAUUUGAAACAA